rnacentral:lncRNA from 1 species
AGCCAGCCUCAAUUAAAUGUUUUCCUUUAGAAGAGUUGCCUGUGGUGUCUCUUCACAGCAAUAAAACCUUAGCUAAGACCGUCUGUAUGCAUAGGACCUGCAGACUCCCCCAGGCCAAGUCAGGGAAGUUGUGAAGGUGGCCAUUGAUGCUGGAUAUUGCACAUUGACUGUGCCUAUGUGGAACAGAAUGAGAAUGAGGUGGGAGAAGCCAUUCAAGAGAAGAUCCAGGAGAAGGCUGUGAAGCAAGACCUCUUGAUUGUCAGCAAGGUUCUACCAAGGCCCACUUGGUGACUACAGGUUCAAGGCAGGUGGAAGUUUCUGGACCACUCCUAGAGCCCUAUCCAUCUUUACUUGUGGAACAUCAAGAAAUUCAUAAAACAGAGAUCAAUGGCUGCACCAGCACUGGGACAAGGAAUUGCUUCCAGCCACUCAGAGGCACUGAGGUCCAGGCUGAAAGCCCCGCCCCCCUGCACGCGCACUGAGGAGCACGUGGUUCUUUCUGGCAGCACUGGCUCCUCAUCCUGAGCCCAACUCCUUUACAGUCUCUGCGUCUGCUGUUGAAAUUCUGAAAGUUCACCUCUGUGAAGUUUUCCAUGUCACAGGCCCUCCAGUUCCUGUUGAAGCUGAGAAUGGCAGCCAUGUCCUCCUCACUCAACUGGAAGUCGAAGACCUAGAAAGACAAGAGUUCCAAAACCACCCUUAGCAAGGAAAGUGCUGGAGGGAUCUGAGGUGUUUCCCCUAAUAUGUCCAUGACAAAUACAUUAUUCUCUAAAUUAAGAGUGAGUUAUUUAUAGAGUUUAGUGUUCUAAGAGGGAAGAGAUUGGGUUGUAGGUGUGCUAAGUAUGUAUGCCUGAAGGGUGUCUCAGAGGACAAGUUUUCAAGUCCAGUCCAUGUCUACAAGGCAGUCUUCAGUUGGCUAGCACAGCAUUCCACCUAUGAUCUAAGUGCUCAAUGGUAGGCAGUGGUCAUCUCAGUGAUAUAAGCUACAGUUGUGAUCAGUCCUGACAGGUUUGGCCGGUACCACCUGUGAGCUCAGUCAUCCCAGCUUUCUAGCCUACAAGUUGACAGAGUGCUUGGAAGAAGGGAAGACACACUGUCAGUGAAAGAGUGGGAUGAGAAGCUGAAGGGCAGGGAAGAAGAGUCCUCCUUCCCUCCUAUCACCUGUUCCACUGAGGAAUGUCAGAUGUACAGCCCAGGUCUUACCUGCAGGUUCUCCUGUAUGCGUGAGGGUGUCACAGACUUGGGGAUCACCACCACAUUCCUUUGGACAUGGAACCGAAUCAGAACCUGUGUAUUACGAAGGGAAGGCAUGUGCCCAGUUAGCUACAAGACCUUCUCCUUCUUGUAAGAUGACAACUAAGUAACUGGCUUAACAACAGUUGAUAUUAACAAAGCCCUUCACCAUUAGGGAUACUUUUCCAGUUCCCUUCUUAUGCCCCUUGAUCCAAGAAACAACUAGGAAUUCCUAACGAGGAGUGAGGAGAGUAGCCUGUAGUCAUAGGCUUAGACCCUAUAUAGUUGGCGCUUGAACCCAACGCCUGAGGGUGUGGCAGGAAUCUGAAAGACAGAGGCAGAUCCUUGCUUCACUAAUGCUAGCGGUAUUUUCUGAAGCUCCCAACAGGCUUACACUUCCCAUUUCUUCCUCUCCAGGGAAUUAAAAGCAAGCAACACAGUUGUACACAUGACUACAAGACUGGAUUGCUAAAUAAAAGGGGGAAAUACUUUAUUUUACCUGAGCUACUGUUUUCUUGUGUUUUGCAGCAAUCUCUUUGAUCUUGGGAAUCUCCAUUACUACGGGGUCUUCUGGCUUGGCACUAGACGAAGAAAGAGAGCUGGAGUAAAAAUCACCAUGGCUACUGUGUGCCCGUGAACAUCCCUGCCAGGACAGCAUCAAGGCUGAGCACUGCAGCAUUUUUCCUCUGCAAGGCAGGCAGGAAGAUCUUUCCCCCUGGAUUCGUGCAUAGGAUCUAGUACUUUGGCAAUUUGAAAAUACUGCCCCAGCACAGGACAUCAGAAAUGGAAUAUUCCAGGGGAUCAGACAUGCUAUCAUUUUAAAAACACUUUACCCUGACAAUCCCACUUGGGUUACCAACACAUUGCCAUUGGUAUAUUUUAUCUUGUGCCUUGGAACUUACAUACUAAUAGAACAAAUUACAAAAUGCUAAUUUUAAGAAGGAUAAAAAAAAAAAAAGAAAGAACCAGUAUGCUGAAGCCUUACUAAGGCCUGUCUGGGGAGCCCAGGGGACUGUAGGCUGUAACAGCGAUGCCCUUGGAUUGACAGUAUUGGAUCAGUUUUUCCUGGGUGAGAUAAGGGUGGCUCUCAAUCUGCAAGAGAAAAC